UAUUGAUCAUCUGCUACAGUGUUUCAAUCACCUUUGCUAAUUUUUUAUAAUAUAAAACAUUAAGUAAAUGUAUUAAGUGAGAUCAAGAUGAUUGCAUAAGUCCAUGGUUAAAAUUAUUUCUCUAAUUUCUUUCUGAGCAGUAAUCAGGAUACUCUCCUUUGAUGAAUCUUAAUGCCUUAACUAUGGAACACCGCCCCAGAUCAUCAUGGGUGUUUAUCUAAAAAUCAGUGCAACUGGGAAGUAUUAAGCCUCGAGGGCUAGAACUAUCAGAUUCUUCACAUCAGAAAUAUUUAGAAUAAAGGUAAACCCAGCAUAUGUUAGAGCUAGUUUAGAAGAUUCCAGCGUAUGUGUAAUAAAGAAAUAGCAGCCAGUGAGACACAAACACAUCAGUCAGAUGUCCCUAUGGGACACCACAUGGUGUAGGCCUCCAAAGUGAGGGGGUGAAGUGGUCUCCCCAGCCUUUGCAUUUGGUAUCAAUCUGCAUACACAAAUCAAUGUUAUAAGAUUUAUUCCACAAACAUUUAUUACAAGCCUACUACGUGUCAAUGCUAUGCUAAUUGUUAUUUCUUUUUUUAAUGAAGAUUCUUUUGCUUUCUGGGGCACAUUCCUUUAGUGCAGGGUGAUUAAAGUUGCAGGUUAAAUUAAUAUUAGUAAUGAGCUAAUCUUACCCUUGGGAGCUUGUCCAGCUGGGCCCAAGGUAAUCACAAGGCCCUUAAAAGUGAAAAAGGGAAUCCAAAGAGAAAACCAGAGAGAAGGCAGCAUGAGAAGAAUUAAGCUCAAUGUCACUGGCUUUGCAGAUGUAUGAACGGGGCACAGAGAAGGAAUAAGUGCAGCUUCUAGAAGCUGACAGGGGCAAGAGGACUGAUUGUCCCUUGGAGCCUGCAGAAAGAACAUAGCCAUUCCAACAUCUUAAUUUUAGCCCAUCGAGACCCAUUUUGGACUUCUGACCUCCAAAAGUAUAUGAGGCUCAGGGAGUAGCUGAUAAAACUGGUUCUACAUAUGCCGACGUCAGCUCCUAAAGCGACCCUUCAGGCAUACCUGUGGAAUUAUUUUAAUUCCAAAUCCUCCAAAAGGAACUCAAUUGUCAUAAGUUCCCUCGGGCGUUCCAUCCACUGGGGAGAAGGAUUAUCGUCUCUGGAGAGGAGAUCGCAAGUGGACAGUGACGGGGUUGAGGGUGGGCCGCCCCAAGAUGUACCACUCUGGGAUGCAGGCUGUUUCGAGCUGAAGACCACAAAGGUUCAAAAGACUCAGGAAGAGCAUCCGACCUUCACCCCUCAAACUGCCUAAAGGACUUGAACAGACAAGGCCUGUUCCAGGAAGGGGCUCAUAUCGGGUGAUAGCUAUAGCAUGAUGUAAAAUAGGUGUGAUAAAAGGACACCAGCAAACCCAUUUUUUGGGCCUAGCAAAACCUGUUUAACAAACAUUUGCAUUCCAUCUCUAGGUAGAUUGUUUUCCUCCCGUUUGAAGUCCCAGAUCACUGUGUCCUCCUGGUCUGUAGCUGAGGAUACUUAAACGGGUGGACUCAGCCAGAUGGCAGAGUUACUCAGUUUCCUCUGGUUUUCUCCCAUGUAUACAUGCCAUUAAUUUGUUUGAUUUUCUCUUGCUAACCUGCCUCUUUGAUUAUUUAACCAGCCAUAAGAACCUUAAGGAAAAGUGGUGGGGGCAAUUCUCCUACUUCCCCGACAACAGCACACCCAGACAAACUGUGUCACAAACCGUCACACCCCCAUCUAUUCUUCUAAGAGCCCAUUCAUCUUUCCUAAAAACUGUGCUUUCCCUAAGAGCCUGACGUCUCCUCUCCUCUUUCCUAGUAAGAUGGCGUUUAAUCCUGAAUUCUAAGAGUUACUCAUUUUUCCCUGGGUGUCACCCAUGUUUGUUUUUCUUGUUAAUCUGUCUUUUAUUAUAGGAGUGUCAGUUAAGAACUCAGAAAUGAAAAGGGAAAAUUAUUUUUCUUCCCCUACAGUGAAAUAAUGGGGAAGAUGUGGAAUGUGAAACCACUUUUACUGCUCCAAUGGAAUCCUAGAUUUGUAUAAACAUUCUUUCAUAAGAACAAAUGACCAAGGAGGAAAGAAAGAAACAACAAGGAUUACUUUAAAAGAAGUAUCCAGACAAGUAAAUGAAACAGCUUUGGUGAGCCUCUGGAGGACUAUUACACGUUGCUAUUCAAGCACGAGAUAUUAUUUAAAUUAAAAUUAUCGAAGUCAUCCAAAAGUCUCUGAAGUAUUUCUGUGAGUUCACUCUCCCAACAAUGAGCUAUAACUGAAAAAUGAUGCCAUUCCUGGAAUUCAGAAAAAUAUGAUCUUCAUGAAUCAUUGGAAGUUUCCAGUGGCAAUAGAAAUUCUGAACCGAAGACACAUAACUUAGAACAUCUGUCAGUGAAUGAUGACUUCCCUCACAACUAUGCAGCAGCAUCCAUGAUCAAUUGUGCAUGAGCUGAGUCAAGGUGGAGCUCAGCCAAGACCUUCACCCCACAAGAACAGUGAGGGUGGGACCGACUGCUGACACUGCGCUGAGGCACAGCCAAAGUGCGUGAAUCACAAUGAGGCUGCAGUCACCGCAGUCACAAUUAGUCAGCAGUGGAGUGGUGCAGCCUUCUGGAAAUCUGCAACUGGCUUGAAAGCAAUAGUGCAAGGAGAUAUGUGAACUCUUCAUCCCUUUUGUUUCUUAAGAAAAAGGAUAAAUUUGUAAAAUGUAAAGGGCCCACAAAACGUAGUAGAAAAGAAAUUGACUUUAGAGUCAUCUGACCUGGGAUUAUAUUAAAGGUCUACAUCUUACUGAGAAAUUACCUAGCCUCUCUGAACCUCAUUUUACCCUCCUGCUACCUAGUCUUUAGUUGUUGCGAAGAAUAGACAUAAUUUACUUAUGUAAGGACCCAUUGGGCCAUCAAUAACUGUG
rnacentral:lncRNA from 1 species